CUGAAGACCUUACCCGAUUUAGCUGAGAGGUGGUGCAUGGCCGUCGUCAGUUCGUACUGUGAAGCAUCCUGUUAAGUCAGGCAACGAGCGAGACCCACGUCCACAGUUGCCAGCAUACCCUCCGGGGUCGAUGGGUACACUGUGGAGACCGCCGCUGCUAAAGCGGAGGAAGGAGUGGGCAACGGUAGGUCAGUAUGCCCCGAAUCUCCCGGGCUACACGCGGGCUACAAUGGUUGGUGCAAUGGGCAUCUACCCCGAAAGGGGAAGGAAAUCUCUUAAAGCCAAUCGUAGUUCGGAUUGAGGGCUGCAACUCGCCCUCAUGAAGCUGGAAUCCGUAGUAAUCGCGUUUCAACAGAACGCGGUGAAUACGUCCCUGCUCCUU
rnacentral:rRNA from 1 species